rnacentral:rRNA from 1 species
AGACUCCUUGGUCCGUGUUUCAAGACGGGGCGGGCGAGUACCAAAAACAAUAAAGCCGCCGACCGGUUCAAGGACCUGUCCCGCCUCGCGGCGGGGCGCUCCGAAGAGCGGUCCCUUCCCCUUCAUUAUAUGAUACCGUCGAGAGCUGACUGGGACACCCGGGGUUCGCAGGUCCCUUUCGAAACAAGCNNNUUCAACCCAANGGCCCACAAGCCGACUACCCAACGGAUCGCGACCUCCUACUAGGGCAGAAGUGCAUAAUUCCGCUCCGGGCGCGAACACACGCGGUUCCGANGAAGAGCGCGAGCCGCAGAACGACACGCUUCUCNACCAACUUCGCCACGCGGGCUCCGGAGCGGUACACCUGAGUCUGCCCGUCCGGACUUUUCGGUCUCGUCCAAUUUCAAUCAACUCAGUUUCACGUACUCCUGAACUCUCUCUUCAAAGUUCUUUUCACCUUUCCCUUGCUGUACUUGUGCGCUAUCGUCUCCGUGGUAUAAUUAGGCCUAAUUGGAGUCUAACAUCACUUCAAUUGCGUCAAGUGUUGAUUCACAAGUGAACGCAACUCACGAGAAGGUUUUCAGCCGCCCAACGGGGCAUGUCACCCUUUUGGGGCCUUUGUUCAAGUCCAGGACUUGAGGNUUCCCGAAUCGCCCUCCCCGUUAACGGAGUCCUUUUAUACGNUACAUUUCCAACCGUGAUGCAGGUCCCAGAGGAUUCAGCGAUGGGCUGUUCCCGUUUCCCUCGCGGGUACUAAGGGAAUCCUUGUUAGUUUCUUUUCCUCCCCUUAUUAAAAUGCUUUAAUCCAGGGGGUAAUCUCACCUGAACUGAGGU